GUCCUGCUGGGACCUCGGUCGGACUCAAGAAGAAAGGCAUCAUCCAGGCCUAGAGUGGCACCUGCAAAUUCUUGGAGCGUGGAGUUCAUUAUUCCCCGUCGCUGCGCUCACAGCAGGCUUGGUGGCAAGCAUGCGCAAUGGCUGCAUAAUUAGCACUCUUCCAUGCCAGACGGGCACAAAGCCGCCGUCACCAUCACAGUAACACCGGAACAACCUUUGGCGCCAGGGCCUGGUUCCAGUGCAUCUGUCAGCCCCGAGUCACCAAGCCACGGCUAACGCGGGGUGGACGUCUCUUCUGGCUCUGACGUGAAAUACACAAGACAAGGUAGAGUGUGGAGACGGCGGCCAGAAAGGUUCCCAUGAAGCCCAACAGGAUCCCAUAGAGAAGAGGGAGUGCCAC